rnacentral:rRNA from 1 species
AGUGAACGCUGGCGGCGUGCUUAAGACAUGCAAGUCGCACGAGAAAGUUCUCGCAAGGGAGCUAGUAAAGUGGCGCACGGGUGAGUAUAACUUAGGUAAUGUGCCCAAUCGCUGAGAAUAACCAGGCGAAAGCUUGGCUAAUACUGAAUACUCCGCGAGAGACUGAGGUCUCUUUCGGGAAAGCCGUAAGGCGCGAUUGGUGCAGCCUAAUUCCCAUUAGCUAGUUGGUAAGGUAAUGGCUUACCAAGGCUACGAUGGGUAGCUGGUCUGAGAGGACGAUCAGCCACACUGGUACUGGAACACGGACCAGACUCCUACGGGAGGCAGCAGUUAGGAAUUUUGCGCAAUGGACGAAAGUCUGACGCAGCAACGCCGCGUGAGGGAUGAAGGCCUUGGUCGUAAACCUCUUUAGUUCGGGACGAAAAAAUAGACGGUACCGACAGAAACAAGCACCGGCUAACCCUACGUG